UACGGAGGGUGCUAGCGUUGUUCGGAAUUACUGGGCGUAAAGCGCACGUAGGCGGAUCAUUCAGUUAGAGGUGAAAGCCCAGGGCUCAACCCUGGAACUGCCUUUAAUACUGCUGGUCUGGAGUCCGGGAGAGGUGAGUGGAAUUCCGAGUGUAGAGGUGAAAUUCGUAGAUAUUCGGAGGAACACCAGUGGCGAAGGCGGCUCACUGGCUCGGUACUGACGCUGAAGUGCGAAAGCGUGGGGAGCAAACAGG
rnacentral:rRNA from 1 species